rnacentral:pre_miRNA from 14 species
ACACCAAGCGACAAGCCCGGGGCGUCGGGGAAACCGUUACCAUUACUGAGUUUAGUAAUGGUGACGGUUCUACCGCCGCCUCGCCUGCCCCGGACCAGGAGG